rnacentral:rRNA from 1 species
GACGAACGCUGGCGGCGUGCUUAACACAUGCAAGUCGAACGAUGAAGCCGGAGCUUGCUCUGGUGAAUUAGUGGCGAACGGGUGAGUAACACGUGAGUAACCUGCCCUUGACUCUGGGAUAACUGCUAGAAAUGGUAGCUAAUACCGGAUACGACCCUCGGAGGCAUCUCCAGGGGGUGGAAAGAAUUUCGGUCAAGGAUGGACUCGCGGCCUAUCGGCUAGUUGGUGAGGUAACGGCUCACCAAGGCGACGACGGGUAGCCGGCCUGAGAGGGUGACCGGCCACACUGGGACUGAGACACGGCCCAGACUCCUACGGGAGGCAGCAGUGGGGAAUAUUGCACAAUGGGCGCAAGCCUGAUGCAGCAACGCCGCGUGAGGGAUGACGGCCUUCGGGUUGUAAACCUAUUUUAGUAGGGAAGAAGCGAAAGUGACGGUACCUGCAGAAAAAGCACCGGCUAACUACGUGCCAGCCGCCGCGGUAA